CGGUUUAGGUCCCGGUUGGUAUACUGCCAGCAGCCUUGCCGGUCCAAGCAAUCAAGAUCAUCAGCAAGUCAAUAAUGGAGACGGUCGAGCACUGUCAUCACACUAAACGUGCAACACCAGUGAGAUGACUGAAGAUUGGGUUGUGGUUGGAGUGAGAGGAGAAGCAAAUCACUUGACCAGUUGAAUCCUUGUGAGUGCAACCCUCUAUUUCAUUCCCACUUUGUUGUGAGUGCAACCCUCUAUUUCAUUCCCACUUUGUUGUUGGCAAAGUGAUUUGUCACUGUAUGAUCAUCUGUUUCUUCAGUGCAACAUUCUUCAAAGUAUGCCAUGAAAAUUUCCAAAAGAAAAAAGUAUGCCAUGAGAAUUUGGUUAUCUGAUUUUUUCUUCUGCAGGGGUGUACAAGACGGCCGAGCUGUGGCAGGUGAAGGAGCCGCUGCCGCUGCCCGCGCCGAAGAAGC
rnacentral:lncRNA from 1 species